GCCUUCCAAUUUUGUUGCUUCUUUUCGGCCCAAUAACUAGUUGUGUGGCCUUGGGCCGAGGCUGGUUCAUAACAGUGUGUGCACAAGACGUAUCUGUGCGACAGCGCGCACAUCAUUUUUUUUUUUGCGGAUAAGGUGUGUCUGAUCAUUGAUUCAAGUGGUCAGGAAUUAUUCAGAAUUAAAAUACAGUAAAAAAAGUAUUUCCUUGAAUCCGAUGGGGGAAGAACAUAUAGCUUUACCAAGUGAGUCCACUGUUGCAGAAACGGUUGGGUCACUUCCACCACCAGGAUCUUUUGUAUAUUCAGAAAAAUGAGCUACCGUAAAGGUUUACCUCCACUUGAAGAGGAACUCCGAAGUUGUGAGGCAUAUCAAUUUGGUAUGCAAACAAGAUUAUGAUUCACAAAAUCAACUUGGUGAGCAACUUAACAAUUGCAGCUGGUUCUUUUUGAAAUUUAACAGAAGUCCUUAUUUCACUAUAUCAGAAUUACAUGUAUAUAUAGACGAGAAAGAAUCUGCAGAAUCUUCUUCUUUAUAGGAUUUUAGUUUAAAUUAUUUGCUUUCUGUGAAUAAGAUGUGGUGUUAAAACCUAUCUCUACCUAUCUUCCUAUUUCAAUCAUGUUAAAUUUAUAUUUCUACCACAUUUGUGUAAGGAUUUUUGUUUGUUACCACUCGGUGUCGGAUAAGUCCCGAUUAUUUUGGAAUUUGAAAAGUUUCAUCUGCC
rnacentral:lncRNA from 1 species